AGAAUUAUUAAUGGAUAAGGAUAAAAAUCUUUUUAGAAAUGAGAAUGAGACUGGUGGAAAUAGCACUAUUGAAGAAAGUACCUACGAGAAAGAAAAUAUUGAUGAAAAUCUUGAGGAACACAUUGAUAUCGAUAAACUAGAUGAAGAUUUAAUAAGUGCAGUAAAAGAAAGACCAGCAUUAUAUGAUUUUCGCAUACCGGUGAAAGAGCGAGGAAGGAAACAAAAAGACAGCUUAUGGCAAGAAGUCAGCGUACGUUUGAAAGGUUUAUAUACCGCUACUGAAGCGGAAAAACGAUGGACCUAUUUAAAAGAUUGUUAUAGGAAAGCAAGAAAUAUAUUUAAAAAAAAACAAAGUAUUGUGCAAAAAAGUGGUGCGGCUGGUAUAUCAAAAAAUAUGAAAUGAAACCGUCCUUUCGUCACUACAAUGUAAUGAAUUUUUUAAAUGAUAUGUUGGAAUAUCGACAAACCGUAACGUCUUUAAGAUCAAUGUGUGAAGAGCAAGCUUCAAGUUGCAACAGCAUUCCUUCCACAUCAACAAGCAGCGUGGAUGAUGUUCUGACUCCUAUCACUGAUGAUAAUACUUCCACAUCACUGUCUCCAGUCUUACCGAAAUCACGAAAAAAAAAGAGGAUUGAUUUAGACGAAUAC